rnacentral:rRNA from 1 species
UAACAAGGUCCCACCAACGUGAGGGCUUAAUCAGUUAUUGAUUUCGUCGUCUCCACGGAAGCCUUGCAAGUAAAGUCUGCCUCCGGGUAUGCGACAUUCGCCUGUAGCUGGAAGCUUCUCCUCUGUUCCCCAGGGGUUAACAAUCAGCUGCUGCAUGCUCACGCGUGUAGUCCACAGAUCAAACGCGAGUGGCCGCUCCUCUUGAGAGAAGCGGUUAAGAUAUGACCGUAGCAACUCUGCGAAGAGUCUGGUAUACUAGUUCCGUAGGUGAACCUGCGGAAGGAUCAUUA